rnacentral:lncRNA from 10 species
GGUUUGGUGUCUGACAUUAAUUUGGGAAAAUUCUCAGUCAUGGUUGUUUCAAGUUAUUUCUUCUGUGUCUUUGUCUCUUCUUUAUUCAUCCCCAUUAUGCUUAUGUUACAACUUUUGUAGUUGUUCCAGUCACAGUUCUUGGUUGUUGUGUUUUUUUUCUUCUUUUUUUUUUUUUUUCCAGUCUUUGUUUUCUUUGUUUUCCAGUUUGAGAGGUUUCUAUUGAUACAUCCUCAAGCUCAGAGAUCCUCAGCCAUAUUCAGUCUACUGAUAAGGAUUCUUCAUUUUUGCUACAGUGUUUUUUAUUUCUAGCAAGGUUUUUUUUGGUGGGGGUUCUUCCUUAGGAUUAUCCUCUUUCUGCUUGCAUUGCCCAACUGUUAUUUGCAUGCUAUCUGCUUUAUCAUUUAGAUCCCUUGGCAUAGUUGUUUUAAAUUCCUGGUCUGAUAAUUUCAGCAUCUCUGCCAUGUCUGGUUUUGCUACUUAUUCUGCCACUUCAUACUGUAGGUUUUGUUUUUGUUUUUGUUUUUGCCAUUUAGUGUGCCUUGUAAAUUUUUUUUUUUUUUUGGUAGCAAGACAUAAUGUUAAUGGGUCUUUAGUAAUGUAAUAGUAGGUUGUAGCCUGAGGUGAAGCAUUCUAUAGACCUAUAACUAGGGCUCAGUCUUUAGUGAGUCUAUGCCUCUGGACUGUGAACUUCACAAGUGCUUCUCACCACUUCCCUUCACCCUGAGGUGAGACAGGAUGGCUAGAUUGGACUGAAGUGUGUAUUUCCCUUCCCUCAGGUGUGCCAUGCUCUGAUAAAACCCCAGGAGGUUAGGCUCUGGUAAAAUAGGUUCUUCUGGGGGCAGGCAUUAUUAAGAAGAAUAGAAUUCCUCAAUAUUUUAAUGUUCUGUAAUACAGAUGAAAGUAGAUGUUUGUCCAAGAAUUAAAAUAACUAUUACAGUGUUUGGAAGAAGAGUUUUUUUUUUUUAAGAAGCUGAUGAGGGGGUGGAGCCAAGAUGGCCGAAUAGGAACAGCUCCAGUCUACAGCUCCCAGUGUGAGCGAUGCAGAAGAUGGGUGAUUUCCGCAUUUCCAACUGAGGUACCGGGUUCAUCUCACUGGGGAGUGUCGGAAAGUGGGUGCAGUGCACUGAGCAUGAGCCGAAGCAGGGUGAGGCAUUGCCUCACCCAGGAAGCACAGGGGUCAGGGAAUUCCCUUUCCUAGUCAAAGAAAGGGGUGACAGACGGCACCUGGAAAAUCGGGUCACUCCCACCCUAAUACUGCGCUUUUCCAACGGUCUUAGCAAACAGCACACGAGGAGAUUAUA